rnacentral:rRNA from 1 species
UUAAAAUGAAUUGACGGGGCCGCACAAGCAGUGAGUAUGUGGUUUAAUUCGAAAGCGACGCGAAGAGCCUUACCAGGGCUUGACAUCCCUUGAAGCAGCUAGAGAUAGCUGUGUCCUUUCGGGACAAGGAGACAGGUGGUGCAUGGUUGUCGUCAGCUCGUGUCGUGAGAUGUUGGGUUAAGUCCCGCAACGAGCGCAACCCCUACGGUUAGUUGCUAACGGGUAAGGCCGAGCACUUUAGCCGAACUGCCGUUGACAAAACGGAGGAAGGCGGGGAUGACGUCAAAUCAUCAUGCCCUUUAUGUCCUGGGCUACACACGUGCUACAAUGGCCUGUACAAAGGGCAGCAAAGGGGCGACCCGGAGCAAAUCCCAAAAAACAGGUCUCAGUUCGGAUUGCAGGCUGCAACUCGCCUGCAUGAAGGCGGAAUCGCUAGUAAUCGCAGGUCAGCAUACUGCGGUGAAUACGUUCCCGGGCCUU